rnacentral:rRNA from 1 species
CAGGCCUAACACAUGCAAGUCGAACGGAGUACUUCGGUACUCAGUGGCGGACGGGUGAGUAACGCGUGAGAAUCUGGUCUAGGGUUCGGGACAACCACGGGAAACUGUGGCUAAUACCGGAUGUGCCGCAAGGUGAAAGAGAAAUCGCCCAAGAAUGAGCUCGCGUCUGAUUAGCUAGUUGGUGGGGUAAGAGCCCACCAAGGCGACGAUCAGUAGCUGGUAUGAGAGGACGAUCAGCCACACUGGGACUGAGACACGGCCCAGACUACCUACGGGAGGCAGCAGUGGGGAAUUUUCCGCAAUGGGCGAAAGCCUGACGGAGCAAUACCGCGUGAGGGAGGAAGGCGACUUGGGUUGUAAACCUAUUUUACUACAGGGAAGAACAAAAUGACGGUACCUGAGGAAUCAGCAUCGGCUAACUCCGUGCCAGCAGCCGCGG